rnacentral:rRNA from 1 species
CAGGGAGUGCUUGCACUCUGCUGACGACCGGCGCACGGGUGCGUAACGCGUAUGCAAUCUACCUCUUACUGAGGGAUAGCCCAUGGAAACGUGGAUUAAUACCUCAUAGUAUUAUAGACUGGCCUCAGUUUAUGAUUAAAGGUUACGGUAAGAGAUGAGCAUGCGUCCUAUUAGCUAGAUGGUAAGGUAACGGCUUACCAUGGCUACGAUAGGUAGGGGUCCUGAGAGGGAGAUCCCCCACACUGGUACUGAGACACGGACCAGACUCCUACGGGAGGCAGCAGUGAGGAAUAUUGGACAAUGGGCGAGAGCCUGAUCCAGCCAUGCCGCGUGCAGGAAGACGGCCCUAUGGGUUGUAAACUGCUUUUACAGAGGAAGAACCCUCCUUACGUGUAAGGAGCUGACGGUACUCUAUGAAUAAGGAUCGGCUAACUCCGUGCCAGCAGCCGCGGUAAUACGGAGGAUCCAAGCGUUAUCCGGAAUCAUUGGGUUUAAAGGGUCCGUAGGCGGGUCUAUAAGUCAGUGGUGAAAGUCUGCAGCUUAACUGUAGAACUGCCAUUGAUACUGUAGACCUUGAAUUAGUAUGAAGUGGUUAGAAU